rnacentral:rRNA from 1 species
GACCUAGAGGACCGGCGCACGGGUGCGUAACGCGUAUGCAAUCUACCUUUCACAGAGGGAUAGCCCAGAGAAAUUUGGAUUAAUACCUCAUAGUAUAGCAGCUUCGCAUGAAGUCACUAUUAAAGAUUUAUCGGUGAAAGAUGAGCAUGCGUCCCAUUAGUUAGUUGGUAAGGUAACGGCUUACCAAGACAACGAUGGGUAGGGGUCCUGAGAGGGAGAUCCCCCACACUGGUACUGAGACACGGACCAGACUCCUACGGGAGGCAGCAGUGAGGAAUAUUGGACAAUGGGCGCAAGCCUGAUCCAGCCAUGCCGCGUGCAGGAUGACGGUCCUAUGGAUUGUAAACUGCUUUUAUACGAGAAGAAACACUGGUUCGUGAACCAGCUUGACGGUAUCGUAAGAAUAAGGAUCGGCUAACUCCGUGCCAGCAGCCGCGGUAAUACGGAGGAUCCAAGCGUUAUCCGGAAUCAUUGGGUUUAAAGGGUCCGUAGGCGGUCAGGUAAGUCAGUGGUGAAAGCCCAUCGCUCAACGGUGGAACGGCCAUUGAUACUGUCUGACUUGAAUUAUUAGGAAGUAACUAGAAUAUGUAGUGUAGCGGUGAAAUGCUUAGAGAUUACAUGGAAUACCAAUUGCGAAGGCAGGUUACUACUAAUAUAUUGACGCUGAUGGACGAAAGCGUGGGUAGCGAACAGGAUUAGAUACCCUGGUAGUCCACGCCGUAAACGAUGGAUACUAGCUGUUGGGAGCAAUCUCAGUGGCUAAGCGAAAGUGAUAAGUAUCCCACCUGGGGAGUACGUUCGCAAGAAUGAAACUCAAAGGAAUUGACGGGGGCCCGCACAAGCGGUGGAGCAUGUGGUUUAAUUCGAUGAUACGCGAGGAACCUUACCAAGG